AGUAGGUGGGAAGGACGAAGAUAGUGGAAGAACCUUGAGAUGAUGGUGAUAUUACCGACUCAAUCCUUUAUUAGCUCUAUUUUUUAUCUUUAAGGUGCAUGAAUGGUAACUUGUGCAAAACUACGCUUCCCUUUGAUAAUUUUUGUCUUUAUGGUGCUCAUAACAUACUUUUCAUCUAUACUUAUAGGAGUUUGUUACUUCCUUUUGGUCGAAGAAUAAGAUGGGUAACAUAUGCAUUGCCGACUUAGCUUAACAUUUUUUGAACAGAAUUUCUAUAAAUUUUAUACAGGUAUUGUGCUGAAGUCUGCGAAAUAGAUUAAUGACCGAGAGUGUUUAUAAGUUAUCAAGUCGAGCACAUAAGUCUGGAAAGUAGCUAAUUUUCCUACUGAAAAGUAGAUAGAGGUUUCUGAAGACAUGCGACAUUACUACAUAGUAUGCAUAGCCAUCUUCUGAAUUCUAUGAUUCUUCAUACCUUGAGUCUGUUAAACGUCUAUGCACCUUUCAUUUGAUGAGGUACAUUCAAAUUGGGUAUGUUCAUAACUUUGAUGAAAAAUUAUCUUCCCUUAGAUGGUUAAGGUUCUAGAGCUCAUUGCUAUGAAAGGGGGCAUAGAUUUGAUUCACGGAAUUGCCACCAGAAUUGGAGUGAGCGCGAGUAACAAUCUCCUGCAGACAAUACAUUCUUUUGAAGCUACGGCUGCGGGAUCGUACGGCAAAAAAUUCCUUGUGCCUCGCCCGGUCUUCGCUGCCCUACUGGGCCACGGAUGGGUCUUUUCUUAUAGACCGUCCACGCAAAAAAAGUGAUGGAAGGUAGAUUGAGCUGAUAAAUUCCUGCACCCACCUUGAGGUCCAUAACAUUCUCCUAAUUAUAUGCAGCCCAAUUCGUAUAGAUGUAUUUGUUUGAGGGAGAAGCAAUCAGAAGCAACAAUAUGUGAUCAUCAUGUGUGCGAGAGAUAUCAAGAGUAUGUGAUGAGAUGGCAAGAGUACGUGAUAUGUAUUUCUGUCUACACUACUAAUAUCUAUUGACUGUUCAUGUUGAUACAGUAGGUUCAUGAUUGAUUAUGGAAACAAUAAAAUUACUCGAGAAAGAUUUUAUGUGUAUGUACUUUGAGACUCGAGAGGCUGUUAUUUACAGGGAUUCUCUGUCUACUAGAGAGGUUGGUGUCAAA